rnacentral:rRNA from 1 species
AGGUUUCUGCGACUGCGAACACAUUUCGAUGACAAGUACGUUAAGUUCAAGGCAGCAAUUAAACAAUGAUAGCCAGUUUUGAGAGCGCAAAGUUCUCAUAAGUGUGGUGGCGAUAGCAAGAAGGAUACACCUGUUCCCAUGCCGAACACAGAAGUUAAGCUUCUUCACGCCGAGAGUAGUUGGUGGGAAACUGCCUGCGAGGGUAGGAAGCUGCCACGC